AGUCGAACGGUAACAGACCCGGCAACGGGUGCUGACGAGUGGCGCACGGGUGCGUAACACGUAUGCGACCUACCCUGUACUGGGGGAUAACCCUGAGAAAUCGGGGCUAAUACUCCAUGGCAUUAUGAAGUGGCAUCACUUUAUAAUUAAAGAUUCAUUGGUACGGGAUGGGCAUGCGCCCCAUUAGUUAGUUGGUGAGGUAACGGCUCACCAAGGCAGUGAUGGGUAGGGGUUCUGAGAGGAUUAUCCCCCACACUGGUACUGAGACACGGACCAGACUCCUACGGGAGGCAGCAGUAAGGAAUAUUGGGCAAUGGAGGCAACUCUGACCCAGCCAUGCCGCGUGCAGGAAGACUGCCCUAUGGGUUGUAAACUGCUUUUGUAUGGGACUAACCGUGGCUACGUGUAGCUGCCUGCAUGUACCAUACGAAUAAGCAUCGGCUAACUCCGUGCCAGCAGCCGCGGUAAUACGGAGGAUGCGAGCGUUAUCCGGAAUUAUUGGGUUUAAAGGGUGCGUAGGCUGACAAGUAAGUCAGUGGUGAAAUACUCCGGCUUAACCGGGGGGUUGCCAUUGAAACUGUUUGUCUUGAGUGUAAUCGAAGUGGGCGGAAUGAGGUGUGUAGCGGUGAAAUGCAUAGAUAUACCUCAGAACACCGAUAGCGCAGGCAGCUCACUAGCUUACAACUGACGCUGAGGCACGAAAGCGUGGGUAUCAAACAGGAUUAGAUACCCUGGUAGUCCACGCAGUAAACGAUGAUCACUAGCUGUAUGCGAUACACAGUAUGUGGCUAAGCGAAAGCGAUAAGUGAUCCACCUGGGGAGUACGUC
rnacentral:rRNA from 1 species